GAUGAACGCUGGCGGCGUGCCUAAUACAUGCAAGUCGAGCGCUGAGACGUGGAGCUUGCUCCUCUGACGUUAGCGGCGGACGGGUGAGUAACACGUGGAUAACCUACCUAUAAGACUGGGAUAAGCUCGGGAAACUGGGGCUAAUACUGGAUACUACAUUUCACCGCAUGGUUCAGUGUUGAAAGGCGGUUUUGGGGUCUGGUAUAGAUGGCUCCGUGUCGCUUUGGCUAGGUGGUAAGGUAACGGCUUGCCAAGGCAACGAAGCGUAGCCGACGUGAGAGAGUGAUCGGCCACACUGGAACGUGGACGCGGACCAGAGUCCUGCGGGAGGCAGCAGUAGGGAAUCGUCCGCAAUGGGCGGAAGCCUGACGGAGCAGCGCCGCGUGAGUGGUGAAGGUCUUCGGAUCGUAAAACUCUGUUAUUAGGGAAAAACAAAUGUGUGAGUGACUAUACACGUCUUGACGGUACCUGAACAGAAAGCCACGGCUAACUACGUG
rnacentral:rRNA from 1 species